CACGUAGGGUGCGAGCGUUGUCCGGAAUUAUUGGGCGUAAAGAGCUCGUAGGCGGUGUGUCGCGUCGGCCGUGAAAACCUGCAGCUUAACUGUGGGCUUGCGGUCGAUACGGGCAUCACUGGAGUUCGGCAGGGGAGACUGGAAUUCCUGGUGUAGCGGUGAAAUGCGCAGAUAUCAGGAGGAACACCGGUGGCGAAGGC
rnacentral:rRNA from 1 species